ensembl:lncRNA
GGUUGGGUUAGGGUAGAUUGGGAUGGGUUAGGGUGGAUUGGGAUGGGCUAGGGUAGAUCAGGUUGGGUUAGGGUAGAUUGGGAUGGGUUAGGGUAGAUUGGAUUUAGUUGAGGUGGGUACUUAGGUUGAGUUGGGUUCUUGAUCAUCUUCCUUUUACAUCUUUGUUUUUUUUAUUGAAGCAAAAAAUAAUCUGUCAUCCGACACCUAUCACCAAUGUGAAAAAUUCAUUGCCCCUUUAAAAUCUGGUUCUCACUUUUAGCAGUAGUAACUGCAACCAAAUGCUUCUGAUAACUGAGAUCAGUCUUUCACUUCUAGGACUAGGAUUUACUCCUAUGCUUUGGAUCAUUGUCUUGCUGCAUGAUCCAGUUGUGUUUGAGUUUCAAAUUACAGACUGAAGACCGGACGUUCUCCUUUAGGAUUUUCUGGUAGAGAGGCAAGUUGCCCAGGCCCUGAAGCAGAAAAGCAUCCCCACACCAUCACACUUCCACCACCAUGCUUGACCAUAGGUUUGAGGAUCAUCAAGGUGUGUUUUGGCAAAAUUCAGACGAGCCUUAAUGUUCUUCUGGGUUAGCAGUGGUUUUCACCUCACCACUCUUCCAUGGACGCCAUUUUUGCCCCAGUGUCUUUCUGAUAGUGGAGUCAUGAACAGUGACCUUUAUUGAUGCAAGAGAGGCAUGAAAUUCCUUUGAUGUUGUCCUUGGCUCUUUGUGACUUCCUGGAUGAGUCGUCACUGUGCUCCUGGAGGAAUUUUGGAAGGUCGGCCACUUCUGGGAAGGUUCACUACUGUGCUGAGUUUUUCCAUUUGGAGAUAACGGCUGUCACUGUAGUUCUUUGGAGUCCCAGAGCCUUUGAAAUAGCUUUGUAACCCUUCCCAGACUGAUGCAUUUCAAUCACCUUCUUCCUCAUCAUUUCUGGAAUUUCUUUCAAUUUUGGCGUAGUGUGUUACUGAGUAAGACCUUUUAACCAACUCCAUACUGUUGAAAAAGUUGUAUUUAAGUGUUGAUGUGAUUGAACAGGGUUUGCAGUAAUCAGGCCUGGUUGUGUCUAGUCCAGCUGAACUCCAUUAUGAAUGCAGUUUCCUAGAUUUGCGGAAUUAGUAACUACGGGAGCAAAUACAUUUGCACACAGGCUCAGUUGGUAUGGACAACUUUUUUUUUUGCUUCAAUAAAUAACUAUCAUUUAAAAACUGUUUUUGUGUUGACUCAUGUUGCCUUUGUUUUAUCUUAGACUUUGUUUUUCAUUUCUGAAACAGUUUAGUACGAAAUAUACUCACAACAGACGAAACGGGGGGGGGGGGGUACUUUUUCACAGCACUAUACUAUAAUCUCUCUCUUCUUCCUUUUGUUUCUCUUUUUCUUAUCUCUUCUUUCUCAUCGG